AUUGAACGCUGGCGGCGUGCCUAACACAUGCAAGUCGAGCGGUAACAGGUGUAGCAAUACAUGCUGACGAGCGGCGAACGGGUGAGUAAUGCUUCGGAAUCUACCCAAUGGUGGGAAUAACCAGCCGAAAGGUUGGCUAAUACCGCAUACGUCCCACGGGAGAAAGCAGGGGAUCGCAAGACCUUGCGCCAAUGGAUGAGCCGAAGUCGGAUUAGCUAGUUGGAGGGUAACGGCCUACCAAGGCGACGAUCCGUAGCUGGUCUGAGAGGACGACCAGCCACACUGGGACUGAGACACGGCCCAGACUCCUACGGGAGGCAGCAGUGGGGAAUAUUGGACAAUGGGGGAAACCCUGAUCCAGCGACGCCGCGUGUGUGAAGAAGG
rnacentral:rRNA from 1 species